GAGCACAGUAAAAAACAAAAUAAUUAUAGAAAUGUAAAAGCAGAAAAAAGUCAAAUUUAUUAUUCCACCAUACAAUAAUCAGAGUGCAACAAUGGCAUUUGGUCAAAUACCAUUCUUGUCCCUGAUAAACUUCACACUCACAAGGAUAAAAUAGGAAAGUGUUGGGGGCCAAUAAAGCGGUUGACUUAAAUGAGAGAAACUUGUGGAGUAGAUUCAAUUUCGCUAACCGGCCGACGCUCAUCAAUCUUCGUCUUCUUCUUGCAUAGAUCUCUAAUGGCAGUCAG
rnacentral:misc_RNA from 1 species